UACGUAGGUGGCAAGCGUUGUCCGGAAUUAUUGGGCGUAAAGCGCGCGCAGGCGGUCCUUUAAGUCUGAUGUGAAAGCCCACGGCUCAACCGUGGAGGGUCAUUGGAAACUGGGGGACUUGAGUACAGAAGAGAAGAGUGGAAUUCCACGUGUAGCGGUGAAAUGCGUAGAGAUGUGGAGGAACACCAGUGGCGAAGGCGACUCUUUGGUCUGUAACUGACGCUGGAGGCGCGAAAGCGUGGGGAGCAAACAGG
rnacentral:rRNA from 1 species